AUUGAACGCUGGCGGCAUGCCUAACACAUGCAAGUCGAGCGGAUGAAGGGAGCUUGCUCCUGGAUUUAGCGGCGGACGGGUGAGUAAUGCCUAGGAAUCUGCCUGGUAGUUGUGGAUAACGUCCGGAAACGGGCGCUAAUACCUCAUACGUCCUGAGGGAUAACUUGGCGUAUCUUCGUACCUCACGCUAUCACAUGUGCCUAGGUCGGAUUAGCUAGUUGGUGGGGUAAUGGCCUACCAAGGCGACGAUCCGUAACUGGACUGAGAGGAUGAUCAGUCACACUGGAACUGAGACACGGUCCAGACUCCUACGGGAGGCAGCAGUGGGGAAUAUUGGACAAAGGGCGAAAGCCUGAUCCAGCCAUGCCGCGUGUGUGAAGAAGGUCUUCGGAUUGUAAAGCACUUUAAGUUGGGAGGAAGGGCAGUAAGUUAAUACCUAGCUGUUUUGACGUUACCAAAAGAAAAAGCACCGGCUAACUUCGUG
rnacentral:rRNA from 1 species